rnacentral:hammerhead_ribozyme from 1 species
AUUCAGCUGACGAGUCCCAAAUAGGAUGAAGUGGUGCCUAUCCUGGAU